rnacentral:rRNA from 1 species
CCUACGGGAGGCAGCAGUGGGGAAUAUUGCACAAUGGGCGCAAGCCUGAUGCAGCCAUCCCGCGUGUGUGAAGAAGGCCUUCGGGUGGUAAAGCACUUUCAGCGGGGAGGAAGGCGAUAAGGUUAAUAACCUGGGCGAUUGACGUGACACGCAGAAGAAGCACCGGCUAACUCAGUGCCAGCAGCCGCGGUAAUACGGAGGGUGCAAGCGUUAAUCGGAAUUACGGGGCGUAAAGCGCACGCAGGCGGUCUGUCAAGUCGGAUGUGAAAUCCCCGGGCUCAACCUGGGAACUGCAUUCGAAACUGGCAGGCUAGAUUCUUGUAGAGGGGGGUAGAAUUCCAGGUGUAGCGGUGACAUGCGUAGAGCUCUGGAGGAAUACCGGUGGCGAAGGCGUCCCCCUGGACAAAGACUGACGCUCAGGUGCGAAAGCGUGGGGAGCAAACAGGAUUAGAUACCCGGGUAGUC